AUGGGGGAACAGGAGCAGAAGGCAGUGACCUGGCCAUGCCCUUGGCUACAGAGCUGCACUGCUGUUGUGCCAUGCAGAUCCCAGCCCCUUCAGACACAGCUUCUGAGGCACAGGUUAUGGAAGCAUGUGUUGAAGUGGUAUCAUCCUCAGCCCAGAUCCCUGUGUGACUCAUUCGAGAACUGUCCCUAAUUAGACAUGUUGAAUGAUAAAUUGUACCAUCAUCUUAGAUAUAAAUCAUUCCCACUCCAAAGAAAAGAAUGGGAGAAAUUUGAAUAUUCUGCACUCAGAGACAAAAACCACUAAAUGAUGUGCUGAAGAUACUACUACUAAUAUUUCACAUUAUGAUUAUGGUCUCUGCAUUGAAAAUCUAUGGGGAUUUUUCCAAUUAAUUUUCAAAUAUUUACACAGCCUCUCUGAAAUACAUAAUAAAACACA